AGCUAAGCUAAGGUUGGUUUAGCAUGCCAUCUGAAUCUAGGCUUGCGGUUAAACUCCUGACUGACUAACCAAAAACUGAAGUCAAGGUCUGCUUGAGGGAAAAAAACCCAGGGAGGAGCAAAAUGGCUGUGAGCUCCUGUCUAGGAGUCCACACAUUAAUGCAAUCCAGACGGGUAGCUGUGUUAGGCUCUUGCAGUAAAUACAGUCAAGUAUCAACCUCCAAGGCAGAGGAGGAAUACAACAUGAGACAGCUGAAUUACAAUUCAUCAAGAAGCUCAAGCCAUUGCUUUGGGUUAAAUCAAGAGAAAGGAUUUUUAUCACACCACAGGAAUGUACCACCAACUGCCAAGAAUAUAAAUGUACUGCCUUCAAGUCGAUUCCAACUUAUGGCGACCCAAUGAAUAGGAUUUUCAUGCCCGAGCUACAGAGUACCAAACUACAAGAAGGACAGCAACUAUGGCAUACAUGCGUACGCAAUUCAAGCAAAACUUAGAGUCGCAAUGCAUUUUUGCUGUUUUAGAUGGUACGAUUGAAUGAGCACAAACUCACUCAACUCAUUCAAGAGCCACUGUGGUACAGUGGUCAGAACAUCGAACAAGGCCUGCGGAGAGACCUAGGCUCAAAUAUCCAGUGAGCUAGGGUGGAAUUACAAUGAAAUCAGUAAAACAACACAAUAAUCUUGUUAAUAUUGGUUCAGAGAUAUUAAAUAAAGGGAGCUAUGUGACAGAUAUUAUUUAUGCUACUGGAGUACUAAGAUCAGAUUUUCAGAUAUAAAAGCAGCUGAAUUUUCCAGUAGCAGCUGGGUCCUACUGGGAGAAAGAGCAGGAUAUAAAUCUAAUAAUAAGUAACAAUAAAUAACUUAAAAAAUUAAAAUCAAACUGAGCACUGGCUAUCAAAACACUGAACAUUUCAAAUGUUGUAAGACUACACCAAAUGGUGAAUAUUAACAAAUGAACAUUGAAAAAAUGAACAUGUCACAAAUUAAAAAGAUGACAAUUUCCCCAAAAAACAUCCAGCGGGGUGCGAAGCACAGCUCUGGGGGACAGUGUUCCCAUUUGCCCCCCCCGCUACAGGCCUGGUUCUAGGUCAUACUUUUAGUUCAAGUGGACCAAGAUGACUAGAGUCUGCAAAGCUCUGGGAUCGGCAUGACAAGAAGAACUUGAGUUCCUUGGCAAAUUAGUCAAUGUAGGACGGAGAAUGUAUUUUUUUUAAAAAAAAGACCAAUAAUCUAGACAGCAAGUAAGAUCCAGAGGAAAAGUGCUUAAUGUCCUCAUAUCAUGAUGAAGUUCCAAUACUGAGUAGUCAUCAGCAAAAUAAGGAACUUGUCAUGCAUCAGACAUGAACGCUUACCGGUCAGUGAGGCUUCUCCAUAACUGUGCCCCUGAAAACAAGAUACGGAUGAAUAAUCAAUACAAGACAUUUUCCACUAUGUGAUCCAAUGUUUAUAGUACCUGUAUAUGAUAUCCUCUUGUGAUAACUAAGUUAUAAAUACGCAAUAUUGGAGCCUGAUGGUCUAGGCCUAGGGAAAGAAAUCCUAUCCUAGUGUCCACUUUUGACCCCUCAAGCAAGCCUAUACCACUACUCUGGAAUGUAGUCUUCGUCUAUAUAUUAUGGGAGACUAUCACAUCUGAAAACUUUCAGAAUAAAUUAACCUACAUAAUAAGAGACAACAUUCAGAAAGUCUUUCCUUAGCAAGUGAAUAAUAUUACCAACCCACUUUUCUACUUAACAUAAUGCCCAAGGAGGUUUCCCGUAGUUUCUAGUACCGCAGUUAGGAGUUUAAAGGGAUAUUGAUACGUUUCCGAUAUAUUUGCACAUUAGGCAGAUAAUGAAGUAUGGUAGUACCUUACCUCUUUCUCUAGAUAAGACCAAAUCCUGCAUGAUCUGCAUCAUUACAACACCAAGGAGUACCAGUGAAACAAGAUUUAACAGUCUCCAAGGAGUCAAUGCAAGGAACCUAGGGGGAGAAUAGAACAAUCCUGUUACUGUGCAGAUAUAUAAAACUUCCCUCAUCGCAUGAAAGCACUAGAUCAAGUUGGGCAACUUAUGGUUAUAGCAGCCUUUCCCGAGCUGGCACCCUCUAAUGUUCUGGACGCCAACUCCCAUAAUCCCUGACCAUUGGCAUGCUGUGUGAUGAGGAUGGGAGCUGGGGUUCAAACAUAUGGAGGGCACCAGUUUGGGGAAGGAUGCCUCUGAAGUUGCAGAAAGGCCUAUCAGGGUUGAUCUGAAAUUAAGGAGUUAGAUGUACACUAGGCCAUCAUUAUCACCAUAUUACAGACUGGGUGGCCUGGAAAAAGCCACAUCUUUUCAGCCUCAACUUCCUCCCCAGUCUGAGUUCGUGGCAAAAGUGUGAUGAAGGUAGAGGCUCAAGGCUGGCAAGUCUCGACAGAACUCUUAACCACUGUACUACACUAGUUUUGUUAUGACUCACCAGCCAGGAGUCUCUACCUUUUGUGGAGCCCCAAGGAAGCACCUGUCUCACACUUUUGCCAUGAACUCACAGGUAAGCCACAUCCUUUUAGCCUUGAUCCCCUCCCCAAUCUGUAAUAUGUAAAUAAUGGCCUACUAUACAUGGCUGUUGUAAGGAUACCUGAGAUAAUGCAAAAUACUUAGGAAAAGGAUGGACUAGUACUGAAUAUUAUUAUUCUGGUGAGUGGGAGGAGAAGGGGGAUUGGUCAAUGCAAUACUAGCUGGCACCAACUGAGAUAUGUCACAAGAACACCCCAGCCUACACCCAUGUAUAAAAGGCAUCUUGUCUUUCAAACACGAAUUAGACUUUUAAAGUUUCUAUCUUUAUGACUUCACAUAAAAGCACCACACAUUCUUGAGCAGCCCUCGCUGGCUCUCAUUUCCUCUCCUCCUUCUGUGGUUUUUCUCAUUUAGAUUUAUACCUUGCUCUUUCCUCCCCCCCAACCCCCCCCUCAGGUAGGUAACCAUAAAGUACAGGUAGUCAUACCACAUUACUAGCACUACUGUAAUGGCAAAAUGUAGACUUGGCAUAUACAAGAAGACAUCACUUCAGGCUUGUGUACGAUACCUGAAGAAUCCUAACCCCCCUCCUGUUCUUCAUCCAAAGUCCUCCUUUAGGUCCCCCUCAAACCAUACGAGUUUAGGUGAAUGGCGACUAGGGGGCUUUCUUAGUCAUGGUAUAUCAAACGCUCUGCUCUGGGACUCUUGCCUGUUGACAAUGCAGAUGUCAUUCCAGUGUAAGGCAAAGGCUUAAAAAAAGUCUAAGCAUUCUAGCAUGUGGCAUAAGCUGCUAUGGUUUUAUCUGGUUGUUCUGAUGAAUUUAUGUGACAGCUGUUUUCUGCCAUGCCUAUUUUUGAUGCCUGUUAAAAAAAAAAAAGCUUUUAUUGGUUAAUUUUUUGGGUAAGUGGCAUUUUUUUCUUUAAUUUGCAUUCUACUCCAAAGAGCCAUGUAUUGAAGGGCAGCCUAGGAAUCAGGCAAAAAAAUUUGUAGCACAAAUCGUAUUGACUUGAUACACAAUGCUCACGACAUAAGAGCACAAGUUAUUUAUUUGUUUAUUUAUUUAUUUGAUUUAUAUCCGAAUCUUCCUCCCAGCAGGAGUCCAGGG